GGUUAAUACUGAGUGUCAACUUGAUUGGAUUGAAGGAUGCAAAGUAUUGAUCCUGGGUGUGUCUGUGAGGGUGUUGCCAAAAGAGAUUAACAUUUGAGUCAGUGGGCUGGGGAAGGUAGAUACACCCUUAAUCUGGUGAGCACAAUUUAAUCAGCUUCCCUGGAAAACAAAGC